rnacentral:rRNA from 1 species
UAUGAAGCUUUACUGUAGUUUGAAAUUGAAUUUGGGUUUAGUAUGCGCAGCAUAGGUGGGAGGCUAAAACCAUAUACUCGCGGGUAUAUGCGAGCCAUUAGUGAGAUACCACUCUUAUUAAACUAGAAUUCUAACUUUGAAUGCCGUUAACCGGCCAAAGAACAGUUUCAGAUGGGCAGUUUGACUGGGGCGGUCGCCUCCUAAAAGGUAACGGAGGCGUGCAAAGGUUCUCUCAGACUGGUCGGAAAUCAGUCGCAGAGUAUAAAGGCAAAAGAGAGCUUGACUGCAAGACCUACAAGUCGAGCAGAGACGAAAGUCGGCCUUAGUGAUCCGACAGU